UUACGGCCAUAUCAUGUUGAAACAUUGGUUCUCGUAUGAUAUCCGAAUUUAAUCAACGUCGAGCCUGGCCAGUACCUAGAUAGGUGACCGCUUGGGAAUACCAGGUGCUGUAAG